rnacentral:misc_RNA from 1 species
AAUUAUUUUGCUGGUUUUCAUUCGGUCGCGUAGAGGCCGUAUAUAUAAUACAGCAUAGGGAUCUGAUUUUCCAAUAAUAUCUUUAUUUGUCAACUCUUUCGCCUGCACAAGUUUCACCUCCAGUAUCCCAACAGGCUUCAAUUCCAGGUCACUGUAAUCUCCAGGCAAUAUAGGGAUAACUUUCCUAACAGGCCAUGUAAUAGAAUCUUCA